CCUACGGGUGGCUGCAGUGGGGGAUAUUGCACAAUGGGGGGAACCCUGAUGCAGCGACGCCGCGUGGGUGAAGGAGCGUUUCGGCGCGUAAAGCCCUAUCGGCAGGGAAGAAGAAGGACGGUACCUGAGUAAGAAGCCCCGGCUAACUACGUGCCAGCAGCCGCGGUAAUACGUAGGGGGAAAGCGUUAUCCGGAUUUACUGGGUGGAAAGGGAGCGUAGACGGCGAUGCAAGCCAGAUGUGAAAGCACGCGGCUCAACUGCGGUAGUGCAUUUGGAACUGUAUGGCUGGAGUGCAGGAGAGGCAGGCGGAAUUCCUAGUGUAGCGGUGAAAUGCGUAGAUAUUAGGAGGAACACCAGUGGCGAAGGCGGCCUGCUGGACUGUAACUGACGUUGAGGCUCGAAAGCGUGGGGAGCAAACAGGAUUAGAUACCCGUGUAGUC
rnacentral:rRNA from 1 species